GGGUUAGUAGGUUGGUCAUGCCUCUGGUAUGUACUGGUCUCACUGAUUCCUACCUUCUGACGAACCACGAUGUCAUUAAUUUGGUGUCGCGGGAAAUCAGGACUGUUACUUUGAAAAAAUUAGAGUGUUUAAAGCAGGCUCGCGCUUGAAUACAUUAGCAUGGAAUAAUGAAAUAGGACGUUUGAUUCUAUUUUGUUGGUUUCUAGAGUCGCCGUA
rnacentral:rRNA from 1 species